rnacentral:misc_RNA from 1 species
GACAGCCGGCGGGGAGCGGUUUUACGGGAGGAAGUGCGUGGUGACCGUCGGAGCAUGGACUAGGAAGAUGGUGGAGGAGGUAACUGGCAGAGCAUUGCCUAUACAGCCGCUGCAUACUACUGUGUGUUACUGGCGGAUUAAAGAGGGGUAUGAACAUGCAUUCUCGGUGGAGGGCGGAUUCCCUACGUUUGCAAUCUAUGGAGAUCCAUACUUCUACGGUACACCGUCGAUGGAGUUUCCCGGAUUGAUCAAGAUUGCGCUGCACGGUGGGGAGCCCUGU